GAAUUUCUAUAAUAUUUAUAAAUGUUGUAUAAGUAACAUGCUAUAGGGUAUGCUAGUUGUUUAUGAUAAUUAAAGCAAAGUCAGUGAGUUAAAAACAGAGCAAAUGUAGUUAAGAUGUAAGUUAUGUGCUGUAUUCUGUGAAUCGAGACAGAUAUUUCCCUCUUUCUUUCUCUGUUUACAGUCUGUCAUUGUGGGCUGUAAUGGGCAGGAAGCUGCAGGAGUUGGCCCAGUGACAACCUCCAAAAGAGCCCUGAACCCCCUCCAUACACACACACCCCUCUGUCAGGCUGGGCCAGGAAGAAAAGCACUUCAUAGAGAACAAGAGGGAGGAAGACAGAGAAAGAUCUACUGCAGGCCUCAGGCUUCAGUCCAGAAAAUCUGCCCUGGUCCGUCAUCAAACCUUCCAGCCCCCGGGAGCUUCUUGCCAAUCUAGAACUCACCUGACUGAGGUACUUAACUGCUUUUCCCUGCAGCUUCAUCCAUCUGCUCUGUUCUAAAGUUACUCCAGACAAAUGAUUCAAAUUUAGACAUCCCUUCAACUGCCUUGGCAAUUAAAGAGACACUCAACUUGGCGACAACUGGCAGAGCCUCUUUUAGGGUUGUGUGCACUCUGGGAUUUUUCAUUAGUUUUACCCCUGCAGGUGGUGAAGUGUAUCCGUUUACCUCUCUGAGCUGUUAUGUCUAGCAUUUAGAGGCAUUAGUGGACAUUAGUGACACUGCGGAACAUAGAAUAUACACACCAUUCCCUCUGUGGGUUGAGAAAUGCUUUCAGUAACAUAAGCAUUGUCAUAUUUAGUCUUUGCAUGGCCCUCGCUUUUUAAUUGCCUCCUUUCACAGGCUCUCACGAAACCUCAUUAUGUCAAGCUCAGAAUCAGGAGUAGAGAAUGGGGCCCUUUCUCAGUACUGGCCAUCUUUUGUUGGUCCUGGUUGGUUUGUCCAACAAACAGUCCUGUCCCUGAUCCCAACUCUAACCGUAAUGUACUAUAAACCAAAUCCCCAGCCUUAAACCUGACCUAACCUAAACUUAGGAGAGUUGUGCUGGGACCAGCAAGGAUGUUAAUCUAGACUGGACUGUAUUGUUCCACCAAUGCAGUCCAGUAUCUCAUAAUAAUUCAUAAAAGAUGACAAAAUUGUAAGGUAUUGUAAGACCUGGCAGGUAUGAAAAGGUACACCUUUUAUAUUUUUCAGAUUACAGUCAUGAUUAAGUUUAGGUUUUGAGUACAUGGCCUGGAAUUUAUGGCUAGGUUCAGUUUGG
ensembl:lncRNA